UAUAAUGACUCUCGGCAACGGAUAUCUAGGCUCUUGCAUCGAUGAAGAACGUAGCGAAAUGCGAUACUUGGUGUGAAUUGCAGAAUCCCGUGAACCAUCGAGUCUUUGAACGCAAGUCGCGCCCGAUGCCAUUAGGUUGAGGGCACGUCUGCCUGGGUGUCACAU
rnacentral:rRNA from 1 species